CCUACGGGGCGCACCAGUGGGGAAUAUUGGGCAAUGGGCGCAAGCCUGACCCAGCCACGCCGCGUGAGGGAAGAAGGUUUUCGGAUCGUAAACCUCUGUCAGGAGGGAAGAAGUGGCAUGUUUUUAAUAGAGACAUGCUUUGACGGUCCCUCCGGAGGAAGCACUUGCUAACUCCGUGCCAGCAGCCGCGGUAACACGGAGGGUGCAAGCGUUAUUCGGAAUUACUGGGCGUAAAGCGCGCGUAGGUCGCGUGGGAAGUCAGAUGUGAAAGCCCUCGGCUCAACCGAGGAACCGCAUUUGAAACGGCUAUGCUUGAGUACGACAGAGGGGGGCGGAAUUCCGGGUGUAGGGGUGAAAUCCGUAGAUAUCGGGAGGAACACCAGUGGCGAAGGCGGCCCCCUGGGUCGAUACUGACGCUGAGGCGCGAAAGCGUGGGUAGCAAACAGGAUUAGAUACCCUAGUAGUC
rnacentral:rRNA from 1 species